AAACUGAAGAGUUUGAUCCUGGCUCAGAUUGAACGCUGGCGGCAUGCCUUACACAUGCAAGUCGAACGCGAAAGCGGGGCAACCCGCAAGUAGAGUGGCGAACGGGUGAGUAACACAUCGGAACGUGUCCAGUAGCGGGGGAUAACCUGUCGAAAGAUAGGCUAAUACCGCAUACGACCUACGGGUGAAAGCGGGGGCCGCAAGGCCUCGCACUAUUGGAGCGGCCGAUGCCGGAUUAGCUAGUUGGUGGGGUAACGGCCCACCAAGGCAACGAUCCGUAGCUGGUCUGAGAGGACGAUCAGCCACACUGGAACUGAGACACGGUCCAGACUCCUACGGGAGGCAGCAGUGGGGAAUUUUGGAC
rnacentral:rRNA from 1 species